ACUCGGUUGUGGUUAGUUGGCUAGCCGCCUAAUUGCAAUGUAAUCUUAACUAGAGGAGAGCACAGUAGGCUUUGCUGGUGUUUUGCAUGACUGGACAUUGAUUGACAGAUUAGGAUCUGCAGUAGACCAUAUCCACUUGCAUAGAAUGCUGGCAGAAGAACACUUCAACCAAAUGGAUAGGAACUUAUACUUCCUCCUACUUUAUUCUUGACUAGUUUUAAU